AAUGAUUUAACACUGAUAACAUGAAUCAAGUUACAUCAAAUUAAAGUAAAGAGGUUAAAUUUUAAAUCUUAACAUAGUAUAGAUACUAAAAGCAUAAUUAGACCAUUAAAAACAGAUUUAAAUUAUGAUAAGUCUUUUAACAUUCACAGUUGACAAACAUGUCUUCUUAUUCAUAUCUCAUAGCUUAAACAUGUCCAAUUCAUCUCAAUUUUCAACCUACGUACUUGAGUUCAUGGCUCCUUGUUUCUUUCAUGAUUUACUUAGGAAAGAAGAGGCCAUUCACGCUCAUCCCACCAUCAACACAAAUAACCUGCCCCGUUACAUAUGAAGCCGCUGGUAGGCACAGGAAAGCCACCAUAGCUGACACUUCCUUUGGCUGUCCAAGCCGUCCUAAUGGUGUUCGGUUUAGGGUUGCCUCUAAUCCUUCUUUAUUAGCUUCGAAAUACUAGAAAAAGAAUACAAUAAAAUAUCGACUUUAAAAAUGAAGUUUGAUCAAACUUGAAUUGAAUUUUGAAUUGAGUCGAACUCGAGCUUCUUACCACGUAUGUUCAUUUGAGUUCAAUUAUAAGUUCCUUGAAACAAAAGCAUAAAAGAUAAAGUUAAACUAUACCCAAGAUUACUCAAUUAUUAGUAAGUUUUCGUUUUGAUCACUCAACUUUAAAAAGUUAUAAAAUGGUCCCUAAACUAUUCAAAAAUUUUCAUUUAAGUCACUGAUCUAUUCGAAAGUUUUCAUUUGAUGAUUAGAGUCGAAGAUUAAAGAAGAAAGUUGGUUAGUUUCUGGUUCACAAAUUCGUGAUAUUCAAAGAUGUUCAUAAAAAAAACUAAAUUGUAGAAGAAAAGGAGAAGGAAAGCUUUCGAUUGGUGUGAAUAGAAAAGGUUAUAUAGCAGUGAUUUUAGCAUCUCAGUGACUUAAAUAAAAACUUUUGAAUAAUUCAGUGAUCAUUUUGUAACUAUUUGAAGUUGAAUGAUCUGACCAAAACGUUAACUUACUAAUCAUAUAGUGACCUUAGGUAUAAUUUACUCAAAAUAUAAAGCAUAAGGAAGAGCUUCUUACCUUUUCAAGGAGGGCUGUUUUGACGACCGAAGGUAAAAUAGCAUUAACCCUAAUAUUAUCUCUUGCCCAAUCACAUGACAGGUAUUUCGCAAGCUGGUUCAUGGCAGCUACAACAAAAACACAUAAUUUUAUACUCUUAUAUAUAACAACAUAUACAUAAUAUAAAGUUAAUUACAUCAAAUAUCGUCAAAUUAUCACUUAACCUAGAUUUUAAAUUGCUCCAUAAAUUUUACAAUGUUUCAAUUGAGUUUUCAAAGUAAUAGUAUUAUAUCAAUCAAGUCAUUUCAUCAGUCUAGCACUAACUGUCAGUUCAAAUUUGAUCUUCAUUCUAAAUUGGUCUCCGAAUUUCAAAACGUUCAAUAACACGUCAAAUCUUAAUGAGAGAGAGAGAAAACACCAAAAUUAAGUUGUUUUUUUAGAAUAAAAAAAUUAAGAUUUUUAAAACAUCCAUUUUAACAAUAUUUAUUUUCUUAAUUUUUUUUCAUUUCAUAUUAUGUCACAUAUGAUCUAAUGUGUCAUUUAACAGUUAAAUUAAUGAUUUCAAUAACAGAAAGACCUAAUUGAUAUAACAUUGAUAGUUUAGAGAUGUGAUUAGAAUGAUUUGAAGUUUAGGGACCAAUUUAGAAUAAAAGACAUAGUUUAAGAUGUUUGAUGCAAUUAACUCAAAUAAUAAGUUUAGAAGAAAAAAUUACCUUUGUUGGAAGCAUAUAUAGCCCCAGAGUAUGCUGGUAAUAGACUAGCCAUUGAAGACAUAAACACAACGCUUCCAGCAUUUGAAGCUUUUAAAAGGGGAUAUGCCAACACACUAAUGUUAAAAGCCGAUUCGAAGUUGGUGCUCGUCAUAAACGAAACAUCUUCCGCCGUGUAAUCCGUCACCGAUUUCGCUGUAUUCGUUCCUACAUUAUUUAUCUACAAAUUUUAUCCAUCAUCAUCAUUCAGAUCCAUCGCUUGUCUAAUUCUUAAUUAAAUUUAAAGUAAUUCGAAUUUAAAACUAUACGAACCUAAAAUAAUUCAGCCUAGAAAAUUCUAAUGAUUUAAACUAAAGGUGAUCAUGGGCCAAGCCAGAUUCAAACCGAGCCUAAACCUGGCCAUGCUCGAACAUGAGCCUAAAAUUUUGCUCAAGUCUGCUCUGCCCAUAUUUAUAAAUGUCUAACUGAAGUCCAUUUUAGGCCCACCUAUAUAUAUUUUUUAAUUUUAAAAAAUAUAUUUAUUUUAAUAUAUAAUAAUUUUAUAUAUUUUAUUUAUUAAAAUUAUAUAUAGUCAUCUUAACAUUUGUUAAUGUUUACAUUAUAGUAGUAUUAUCUAUUAUUAUAAAUUUAAAUUUUAUGUGCUAUAAAUUAUAUAAUAUAUAAAAAUAAUAUAAUAAAAAACAUAACAAACUUUAAAACUCGUGACCAGUGUCUUCUCCCUUAAUGGGCCUACUGAACGCGAAAGAUUAGUCAUUGGGCUCACUCUAAUAAAUACCUUUGAGAACUAAAUAAGAAAAUAGGACUAGACUGGGCUUAAGUCUUGAAUAUUCAAACUUGAGCUCAACCAUAUUUUAAACGGACCUAUUUUUUGGCCCAAACCAUUUUUCAAGCCCAAUAUUUUUAUUCAAACCCUUUCAAAUUUCAUAUGAUUUUUCAGACUUAGAAAGGUAACCCAACCAUUAACAAGUCUAAUUUAAACCUAAAAUGAUUUAUAUUAUAUUUGAUAUCAUCACUGAAAAAAAAAUUGCUCUUAUUUAUUUUGCUAAUCCUUCUAUUUUUUUAGAUUUUAAAAUUUAGAAUUAAUUGUUAUUCCGUUAAUAUUUUGAAAUAAUAUAUAUAUAUAUACUUAUUUGAUAGCCAUAUAACAAAAGUUUUGACAACAGAAUAAUUUUAACGAUAUUAACAAUUGAACUUGUAUUUUUAAAUACUAGAAAAAAGACGGGCUAAAUAUUUUAAAUGUAUAAGAGUGCAAAGACUUUGAACAUUUAUAGUAAUUUACCAGGAUGUUAAGCUUCCCGUUGAAUUCUGAGGAAACAGUGUUUAACAGAUUCUCCCUUUGAGUUUGAUCUGAAACAUCACACACCGAACCUGUAACCCGAAAACCCUUUGCUUUCCAUUCGAGUAAGCAAUUGUUGAGCUCGGUUUCAGUUCGAGAGCAUGUAUGCACAAUCGCUCCGAAUCCAGCUAAUUCCUCCACAAUUGCAUGCCUGAUCACCAAUUGCAAUACUUGGUUUUUCACAUUGGCAUAAAGUCAAACAUGUUUAAGACGAUAUGAAAAACAAUCAUCUUUUACGUACAUUUCCACUAAAUUCAUGUCAAAUCAUGAAAAGGAGAUAAACAUCUUCGUGUUGUGUCGUGUUUUAGUUGUUGUUCUGAAAUUUUUAUGAAAUAAGGAGAGGAAAUUACCCGAGCCCUUUGGUUCCACCANNNNNNNNNNNNNNNNNNNNNNNNNNNNNNNNNNNNNNNNNNNNNNNNNNNNNNNNNNNNNNNNNNNNNNNNNNNNNNNNNNNNNNNNNNNNNNNNNNNNCAAGUGCAGUCAUGCCUUGGAGACUCCAUCUUGAAGACUCCUAUUGUACCUAAACCUACGCUUCUACCUACUUUACUUACAUUCAUAUAUAUAUAUAUAUAUAUAUAUAUAUAUAUAAAAGUUCACUAAACUAUUACUAAAUUUUCUGCCAAAAAAAAUAUUAUUUAGUUUAUGUUUUGGUCAAUCAACUUUAGAAAGUUAUAAAAUAGUCACUGCAUUAUUCGAAAAUUUUCAUUUAAGUCUGGCUAAUGAGCUCCAAGCGACGAUUCGACGAUUAGUACAGUAAAUCAGUACUCUUUGACAAGUAGAUGAACAUACUUUAAAUCCAAGUCGAUCGAACAAUUACUGUCAAAAAUCAGAUAAGAAAAUUUACUAAUAAUUUAGUGACCUAAGGUGUAGUUUAACCAUAUAUAUAUAUCCAUGGUUGAAACUAGAAAUUUCUUUUAGUGGCCAGUGAUUAAGUCAUAUUUUGUAUGAGAACAAUAAAUGAUCUUAGAAGAAGCUAAAUUAUAAUUUUAUGAAUUUUGAGAGGUUUAAAACAGAAAUUUCUCAUUUUAAGGGUGCGGUCCCUUCACCCCUAAAUCUACUCUACUAUUAUAAAAUUCUUAAUUUAAAUUAAUAUCGCCAACUUUAUUUUUAAAAACAUUUUUUAUCUUUAUUUUAUGAUACACGUUUGUGUUGGAUAUUAUCAUCUUUUUUUUCAGCCAUCGAAAUUGAAGUCAACAAAUAAUAUAUGUUUUAUUUUUUUUUACUCCAAUAAAUAAUAUAUAUGUCUUUUUCAGGGGCUUAUUUUUUUAGUAAAUUAGACGGGUUACUCAAUUAUUUAUAUCUUUUUGUCUUUUCAAUUUUAAGAUGGUAUAAUAUCAUAAAUAGUCCUUACAAGCUCAUUAAAAUUUCAAUAUAGUCCAUCCACUUUGCAAGUUCAAAAGUGAACCAUAACAUUCAUCUUAAAAAUUGUACUUCGUUAACAAGUAAAUCUUAAACUUUUCAUAUUUUAUAAAUAAUCGGAUUUCAAUACUUCAAUUUUUAAUUAAGAAAAUAAGAGUUUUAAAACCUAAUUCUAAAUUGAAGGGAACAUGUUGAAAUUUUGAUAAAAAUUAAGGACUAUAUUGAAAAUUUUAAGAUGAAACUAGUAAAUUUUUAAAUAUAGUUUUGAAGUGGAUGGACUAAAUUGAAAAUGAAUUUUUAUUGAUCAUGUAUAGUAUUAUUCCAGGAUGAAGCAAGAAACUUUUUUUAGGGUGCCGGAGAUUUGGUCGUAUUUUUAUGAGAACAAAAUGCAGUUAUAUUUUUAUGGUUUUUAAAAGGAUUAAAUCAAAAUUUUAACAUUUUCAAAAAGAUCACACUAUAAUUUUAUGAAUUUUUAAGAAGUUUAAAACAGAAAUUUUUGAUUUUAGGGUCAACGAUGCACAUGGUAGGGUGUUUCAUAAUAUACGUUAGUGAAUAUUACAUGUUGGAAAGUAUUGUCCCUUUCAGCCAACCAUCAAGUCCUAGUGCAAGGACCCCAGGGUUUGGUACAUAUUAUUUCGAUAUUAAAACAUUAUUAAUGAUAGAAGUUGAGUGCAGUAAUAAGAUAUAUUAUACUCUCAAUUAAAGAUAUAAGUUCGAAUUAUGAAAAAAACUCUGUUGGGAGGAAUAAUCACAAACCCUGAACAUUGAAUCGUAAAACGGACAUUGAAAGUAAAUAAAUAAAAAGAAUCGAUAUUGAAUAAUUUAAGUUUUAUUUCGAUUAAAAUUUCAAUCAUUGUGAUGGAUUCAGUUGUAUGGUGCGUACAAGCAUGUAUCAUUUGAUGCAUGAUUUUAAUAUAUUAAAUUAAUUUUCUAAUUUUAAUUUAUCGAAUAAAAUUAUUUCUUAAUUUUUAUUUUAUUUUUAAUAAUUACAGUAAAAAAGUAAUAUAUAUAUAUAUAUAAUCAUUAUAUUAAGUUAUUAAAGCUAAUAAAUGAUAAGAAAAUGAAAAAAAAUACACUACCAAUUUCUUUAUUUUGUAUUUUUCAUUUCAAAAAGCAAUUUUAUUAAGGAUAAACUACAAUAGUAGUGACCUAACUAUUAGUAAACUUCUUGGUUAGUCACCCAACUAUUUAAUUUUGUAUUUUUCUGUCACGAACUGGCUAAUGGUGGCAACUUUGACGAUCAACAUUUAUAAAUCAUGACAAUUUAGUAUUGUUUCUAAGAAACUUAUCCCUCAACGUUUACGCAUCGCGUAAGUUGGUCUUUUUGUUUUAGUUUUGUUUUUCUUUGUGACAUUAAGGGUUAAUUUUAAAAGAAUGAGAAAAAAUGAAGAUUAUUAUCUUGGAUUUUUUGGUAUUUCCAUUUCAAUCAAACUUAGCUAAUUUUUUUUUUAAUAUUUUAGGUGAAAGGGUCGCAAAGAAAAACAAAAUUGCAAAAAAAAAAAAGAUAAUGUUGAGUCAUUCAAGUUUCAUUUCGAUUAAAAUUUUAGUCAUUGUGGUGUAUUUCGGCCGAUGUUGAUUUGUAUGGUGCAUACAAGCUUGAAUAAGUUGAUACAUAAUUUUGAUGCUUUAAGUGAACUUUUUAAAUUUAAUUUUUAAUUUAUGCAAUAGAAACUAUUUCUUAAUUUUUUUUUCUCAAUCAAAGAUAUUAUUAAAGAAAGGUUAACCUAUACAAAUAGUCACCCAACUAUAUGUGCAUUCCUGUUUUGGUUACCUAACUUUAAAAUUUUCAAUUUAGGCACUAACGUUUGGAUUCGUUCUUUUUUUGGUCACCAGCCAUUAAAUUGAUAACCGGAAGUCUUUUUGUAAUUUUUAUAAUAACGCAGUUAGUCCUCAAUACUUAUUCUAUCAAUUUGGUCCUAAUUCUAAAUAAUUCAACAAAUAUAACCCUUCAUGUUUACAAAUUCUAUCAAUUUGAUUCUCAAACUUUCUAACCAAAGCUUUUAGCUUUUAAAACAGAGGCACUCCACAUCUAUUAAUUGUUUUAUUUAUGGUUGAAAUUAUUCAAUUCGGUACAUAACCCUUUUUUAUAUUUUUAAGAAGUUACUGCUAGAAAUUAACUAAGCACUGUUAAAAAUAAUAGAAAAUAUAAAUUUUAAAAAUAUAAUAUACAAUAAAUUUAUAUAAAUAAUUUAAUAUUUUUAAAAAAUAAUAUUCCACUCUAACUAGCAUUAAUUUGGUAAAUGAUUUAACACUGAUAACAUGAAUCAAGUUACAUCAAAUUAAAGUAAAGAGGUUAAAUUUUAAAUUUUAACAUAGUAUAGAUACUAAAAGCAUAAUUAGACCAUUAAAAACAUAUUUAAAUUAUGAUAAGUCUUUUAACAUUCACAGUUGACAAACAUGUCUUCUUAUUCAUAUCUCAUAGCUUAAACAUGUCCAAUU
rnacentral:lncRNA from 1 species